CCCUUAGAUGUUCGGAGCUGCACGCGCGCUACACUGAAGGAAGCAGCGUGUUAGAGUACCUGGCUUGGAAGAGCUGGGUAAUCCGGUGAAUGUCCUUCGUGAUUGGGAUAGGCACUUGUAAUUAUUUGCCUUGAACGAGGAAUACCUAGUAAGUGCGAGUCAUCAGCUUGCGCUGAUUACGUCCCUGCCCUUUGUACACACCGCCCGUCGCUACUACCGAUUGGAUGGCUUAGCGAGAAUUUUGGAUCGGAGCCCGGGUGGUCGGCAACGGUCGCCCGGGAGAUCUGAGAAAUCAUUCCAGCUUGGUCAUCUAGAGGAAGUAAAAGUCGUAACA
rnacentral:rRNA from 1 species